rnacentral:rRNA from 1 species
UACGUAGGGGGCAAGCGUUGUCCGGAAUCAUUGGGCGUAAAGAGCGUGUAGGCGGCCCGAUAAGUCCGCUGUGAAAGUCCAGGGCUCAACCCUGGGAUGCCGGUGGAUACUGUCGGGCUCGAGUCCGGAAGAGGAGUGUGGAAUUCCUGGUGUAGCGGUGAAAUGCGCAGAUAUCGGGAGGAACACCAAUGGCGAAGGCAGCUCGCUGGGACGUUACUGACGCUGAGACGCGAAAGCGUGGGGAGCAAACAGG